rnacentral:rRNA from 1 species
GAGUAACCUGCCCUUGACUUUGGGAUAACUUCAGGAAACUGGGGCUAAUACCGGAUAGGAGCUCCUGCUGCAUGGUGGGGGUUGGAAAGUUUCGGCGGUUGGGGAUGGACUCGCGGCUUAUCAGCUUGUUGGUGGGGUAGUGGCUUACCAAGGCUUUGACGGGUAGCCGGCCUGAGAGGGUGACCGGCCACAUUGGGACUGAGAUACGGCCCAGACUCCUACGGGAGGCAGCAGUGGGGAAUAUUGCACAAUGGGCGGAAGCCUGAUGCAGCAACGCCGCGUGCGGGAUGACGGCCUUCGGGUUGUAAACCGCUUUCGCCUGUGACGAAGCGUGAGUGACGGUAAUGGGUAAAGAAGCACCGGCUAACUACGUGCCAGCAGCCGCGGUGAUACGUAGGGUGCGAGCGUUGUCCGGAUUUAUUGGGCGUAAAGGGCUCGUAGGUGGUUGAUCGCGUCGGAAGUGUAAUCUUGGGGCUUAACCCUGAGCGUGCUUUCGAUACGGGUUGACUUGAGGAAGGUAGGGGAGAAUGGAAUUCCUGGU